rnacentral:rRNA from 1 species
GCUGGCGGCGUGCCUAAUACAUGCAAGUCGAGCGAACAGAUGAGAAGCUUGCUUCUCUGAUGUUAGCGGCGGACGGGUGAGUAACACGUGGGUAACCUACCUAUAAGACUGGGAUAACUCCGGGAAACCGGGGCUAAUACCGGAUAAUAUUUUGAACCGCAUGGUUCAAUAGUGAAAGACGGUUUCGGCUGUCACUUAUAGAUGGACCCGCGCCGUAUUAGCUAGUUGGUAAGGUAACGGCUUACCAAGGCGACGAUACGUAGCCGACCUGAGAGGGUGAUCGGCCACACUGGAACUGAGACACGGUCCAGACUCCUACGGGAGGCAGCAGUAGGGAAUCUUCCGCAAUGGGCGAAAGCCUGACGGAGCAACGCCGCGUGAGUGAUGAAGGUCUUCGGAUCGUAAAACUCUGUUGUUAGGGAAGAACAAAUUUGUUAGUAACUGAACAAGUCUUGACGGUACCUAACCAGAAAGCCACGGCUAACUACGUGCCAGCAGCCGCGGUAAUACGUAGGUGGCAAGCGUUAUCCGGAAUUAUUGGGCGUAAAGCGCGCGUAGGCGGUUUCUUAAGUCUGAUGUGAAAGCCCACGGCUCANCCGUGGAGGGUCAUUGGAAACUGGGAAACUUGAGUGCANAAAANGAGAGUGGAAUUCCAUGUGUAGCGGUGAAUGCGCAAANAUNUGGAGGAACNCNGUGGCGAAGCGGCUCUCUGGUCUGUANCUGACNCUGAUGUGCNAAGCGUGGGGAUCAACAGGAUNNAUACCUGGUAGUCCCNCCNUAACNAUGAGUGCUANUGUNAGGGGUUCCCCCCUUAUGCUGCACUACNAUNACCCUCNCUGGGAUACACNCAGGUNAACUCAAGAUNGCGGACCCCCAGCGNGACUGGGUUAUCAACACCAAACUCCNGCNGA